rfam:Salmo salar isolate Sally breed double haploid chromosome ssa19, whole genome shotgun sequence.
CCUAAUUGCAUCUGUAAGUCACUCUGGAUAAGAGUGUCUGCUAAAUUACUAAUA